rnacentral:rRNA from 1 species
GAGAUAACUCCUACGGGAGGCAGCAGUGGGGAAUCUUCCGCAAUGGACGAAAGUCUGACGGAGCAACGCCGCGUGAGUGAUGACGGCCUUCGGGUUGUAAAGCUCUGUUAAUCGGGACGAAAGGCCUUCUUGCGAAUAGUGAGAAGGAUUGACGGUACCGGAAUAGAAAGCCACGGCUAACUACGUGCCGGCAGCCGCGGUAAUACGUAGGUGGCAAGCGUUGUCCGGAAUUAUUGGGCGUAAAGCGCGCGCAGGCGGAUAGGUCAGUCUGUCUUAAAAGUUCGGGGCUUAACCCCGUGAUGGGAUGGAAACUGCCAAUCUAGAGUAUCGGAGAGGAAAGUGGAAUUCCUAGUGUAGCGGUGAAAUGCGUAGAUAUUAGGAAGAACACCAGUGGCGAAGGCGACUUUCUGGACGAAAACUGACGCUGAGGCGCGAAAGCCAGGGGAGCGAACGGGAUUAGAAACCCCUGUAGUCCUCCACU